rnacentral:tRNA from 1 species
GUCUCCAUAGUUAAAUGGAUAUAACGGCUCCCUCCUAAGGAGCAGUUCCUGGUUCGAUUCCGGGUGGGGACG